rnacentral:rRNA from 1 species
UACGUAGGGUGCGAGCGUUAAUCGGAAUCACUGGGCUUAAAGGGCGCGUAGGCGGGCGACCAAGUCAGAGGUGAAAGCCCACGGCUCAACCGUGGAAGUGCCCCUGAUACUGGUUGUCUUGAGGGAGAUAGGGGCGUGCGGAACUUCCGGUGGAGCGGUGAAAUGCGUAGAUAUCGGAAGGAACACCGGUGGCGAAAGCGGCGCGCUGGAUCUCUACUGACGCUGAGGCGCGAAAGCCAGGGGAGCAAACGGG